UACGUAGGGUGCAAGCGUUCUCCGGAAUUAUUGGGCGUAAAGAGCUCGUAGGCGGUCUGUCGCGUCGGCUGUGAAAACUUGGGGCUCAACCCCAAGCCUGCAGUCGAUACGGGCAGACUAGAGUGCGGUAGGGGAGACUGGAAUUCCUGGUGUAGCGGUGAAAUGCGCAGAUAUCAGGAGGAAUACCGGUGGCGAAGACGGCAUCCUGGACCGGCAUUGACGCUGAGUGAGCGAAAGCCAGGGGAGCAAACGGG
rnacentral:rRNA from 1 species